UUCUUUUUCCUCUGUAAUCAGGGAGGGAUCAGGAAAGAGGAAAGGGAAAAGAAACUCUUCUGGGCCUAAAGAAAAGAUCCACAUUCCCUGAAAGUAAGUCCAAACAGCUUAUCUGGAAACCAGCAUGUAGAGGUGGACUUGAAUUUGCUAAAGAGGUUUUUUGGCCAAAUCCUUCUUGCUUUAAAAGUAAAGAAAACAGCCAGUGAGUGACUGGGUGUUCAGCAGAGUCUCAUCAGCUAUGGUGCAGCUCCCGUGAAGAAGGCCAAGUUGAGCUGCUGCCAGAUUUCAUGCCAAAUUCACAUGAAAAAUGAGGAUUUUCUAUGAGAUUAUUGUGAAAAGGGGCUUCAGACAGUCUGGAAUAGGUCCUAAGGAGAGGAAUUCACUGCGAUUUCAGAUUUAGGGAAAAAGCAGCCCACUGGCUUAGUUCACCUUCCUCUAUCCCAUGCCUCUAUUGCAGGAUAAUGAGGCCUGCACUUAUGUGGUGUCUACACUGUGCAGGCACCAGAGCAACCUCUGGAGCUGUUUGCUUUCACCUAGAAUUAAAGUCUCUUCCCUUCUUUCCCUGACUGGCUUUGACGGAUGGCCUGUCAGAGUUUUUGUUCUGACCUAAGGUGACACUUGUCGUAAUUUGCUGUUUACACUAGGGUUCUACAAGGACAAAGAUAGAGAAAUGUCUCAGUGCUCAGGAGCACAUGUAUGACCUGAUAUAAUAUUAUCAGGAAGAGAAGCCCUAAUAGAAGGACUCUGAGUGCUUGAGUUUCAGCAUCUCUUGAUUCCCAAGACUCACGGGAGUGAAUUACGGCCCUCUAUCUAUGUCCAUCUUCUGCUUUAGACUGGUGAAUACAUCAAGGAAAUGACAUGAUUUAACUCAUUUUCAUCAUCUUAGUGUCUGUCAUAAU